GGAGUUAGCCGGUGCUUCUUCUGUGAGUGAUGUCCUUCCUGCCGGCUAUUAACCCGCAGGCCUUCUUCCUCACUGAAAGUGCUUUACAACCCGAAGGCCUUCUUCACACACGCGGCAUGGCUGGAUCAGGGUUGCCCCCAUUGUCCAAUAUUCCCCACUGCUGCCUCCCGUAGGAGUCUGGGCCGUGUCUCAGUCCCAGUGUGGCUGAUCAUCCUCUCAGACCAGCUACGGAUCGUCGCCUUGGUGAGCCGUUACCUCACCAACCAGCUAAUCCGACAUAGGCUCAUCCGAUAGCGCGAGGCCCGAAGGUCCCCCGCUUUCCCCCGUAGGGCGUAUGCGGUAUUAGCCUGGGUUUCCCCAGGUUAUCCCCCACUACCGGGGCAGAUUCCUAUGCAUUACUCACCCGUCCGCCGCUCGCCACCAGGGAGCAAGCUCCCCGUGCUGCCGCUCGACUUGCAUGUGUUAGGCCUGCCGCCAGCGUUCAAUCUGAGCCAGGAUCAAACUCUGA
rnacentral:rRNA from 1 species